rnacentral:rRNA from 1 species
UACAGAGGUGGCAAGCGUUGUUCGGAAUUACUGGGCGUAAAGGGCGCGUAGGCGGCCUUCUAAGUCAGACGUGAAAUCCCCCGGCUUAACCUGGGAACUGCGUCUGAUACUGGAGGGCUUGAGUGCGGGAGAGGGAUGUGGAAUUCCAGGUGUAGCGGUGAAAUGCGUAGAUAUCUGGAGGAACACCGGUGGCGAAGGCGGCAUCCUGGACCGACACUGACGCUGAGGCGCGAAAGCUAGGGGAGCGAACGGG